AUUGAACGCUGGCGGCAUGCCUUACACAUGCAAGUCGAACGGCAGCACGGGAGCAAUCCUGGUGGCGAGUGGCGAACGGGUGAGUAAUAUACCGGAACGUGCCCAGUCGUGGGGGAUAACGCAGCGAAAGCUGUGCUAAUACCGCAUACGAUCUACGGAUGAAAGCGGGGGAUCGCAAGACCUCGCGCGAUUGGAGCGGCCGAUAUCAGAUUAGCUAGUUGGUGAGGUAAAGGCUCACCAAGGCGACGAUCUGUAGCUGGUCUGAGAGGACGACCAGCCACACUGGAACUGAGACACGGUCCAGACUCCUACGGAAGGCAGCAGUGGGGAAUUUUGGACAAUGGGCGAAAGCCUGAUCCAGCAAUGCCGCGUGCAGGAUGAAGGCCUUCGGGUUGUAAACUGCUUUUGUACGGAACGAAACGGUGAGCUCUAAUACAGUUUGCUAAUGACGGUACCGUAAGAAUAAGCACCGGCUAACUACGUGCCAGCCGCCGCGGUAA
rnacentral:rRNA from 1 species